rnacentral:rRNA from 1 species
GAUGAACGCUGGCGGCGUGCUUAACACAUGCAAGUCGAACGGAAAGGCCCUGCUUUUGUGGGGUGCUCGAGUGGCGAACGGGUGAGUAACACGUGAGUAACCUGCCCUUGACUUUGGGAUAACUUCAGGAAACUGGGGCUAAUACCGGAUAGGAGCUCCUGCUGCAUGGUGGGGGUUGGAAAGUUUCGGCGGUUGGGGAUGGACUCGCGGCUUAUCAGCUUGUUGGUGGGGUAGUGGCUUACCAAGGCUUUGACGGGUAGCCGGCCUGAGAGGGUGACCGGCCACAUUGGGACUGAGAUACGGCCCAGACUCCUACGGGAGGCAGCAGUGGGGAAUAUUGCACAAUGGGCGGAAGCCUGAUGCAGCAACGCCGCGUGCGGGAUGACGGCCUUCGGGUUGUAAACCGCUUUCGCCUGUGACGAAGCGUGAGUGACGGUAAUGGGUAAAGAAGCACCGGCUAACUACGUGC